CGCGAUAAAUAUAUUAGAGGUUACAUUUAUUAUUAAUUAGAAAGUACAAAAUGUGCUUAUAACUAAAUCUAUGCAAACUGAAAUUUCGUGCGCAUUUACAGUCAAAGCCAGUUAAUUUCUACAGACUAUAUUAUAGUUCUAAGACAAAGGUUCGUAUAGCGCGGUAGCGGUCAAUAAAUCUGUGUGUUUUUAAGGUCUUUGAAAGGUCUUUGAAUUAUAUGAAAAAGCAAAGAAAAUCUUCAAAAGUCUUUCAAUUCUUUCUUAAUAAAAUAGAUAAAUUAUAGCAAUGGAUUUCCGAGAAGAUGUGAUUAUGUGGCAG
rnacentral:lncRNA from 1 species